rnacentral:rRNA from 1 species
UUCCGGUUGAUCCCGCCGGACCUGACUGCUAUCGGAUUGAUACUAAGCCAUGCGAGUCAUUGUAGUAAUACAAGGCAGACGGCUCAGUAACGCGUAGUCAACCUACCCUAUGGACGGGGAUAACCUCGGGAAACUGAGAAUAAUACCCGAUAGAACAUUAUGCCUGGAAUGGUUUAUGUUUCAAAUAAUUUAUUGCCGUAGGAUGGGACUGCGGCCUAUCAGUUUGUUGGUGAGGUAAUGGCCCACCAAGACUAUUACAGGUACGGGCUCUGAGAGGAGUAGCCCGGAGAUGGGUACUGAGACACGGACCCAGGCCCUAUGGGGCGCAGCAGGCGAGAAAACUUUGCAAUGUGCGAAAGCACGACAAGGUUAAUCCGAGUGGUUUCUGCUAAAGGAACCUUUUGUCAGUCCUAGAAACACUGGUGAAUAAGGGGUGGGCAAGUUCUGGUGUCAGCCGCCGCGGUAAAACCAGCACCUCAAGUGGUCAGGAUGAUUAUUGGGCCUAAAGCAUCCGUAGCCUGCUUUGUUAGUUUUCGGUUAAAUCCAUACGCUCAACGUAUGGGCUGCCGGGAAUACUGCAAAGCUAGGGAGUGGGAGAGGUAGACGGUACUCGGUAGGAAGGGGUAAAAUCCUUUGAUCUAUUGAUGACCACCUGUGGCGAAGGCGGUCUACCAGAACACGUCCGACGGUGAGGGAUGAAAGCUGGGGGAGCAAACCGGAUUAGAUACCCGGGUAGUCCCAGCUGUAAACUAUGCAAACUCAGUGAUGCAUUGGCUUGAUGCCAAUGCAGUGCUGCAGGGAAGCCGUUAAGUUUGCCGCCUGGGAAGUACGUACGCAAGUAUGAAACUUAAAGGAAUUGGCGGGGGAGCACCACAAGGGGUGAAGCCUGCGGUUCAAUUGGAGUCAACGCCGGG